rnacentral:rRNA from 1 species
GCGCGUAACGAAAGGGCAAAGGUGGCGCGCAUGUGCCGUUUGCAGAGCGCGGGUGCGUGCUGAGGCGGAAUGAUGCGUGGAUCCCCAAGAGGAGGCGGCGGCCGGCAAGCGCGCCGCCCAAAGCACGGUAGCCCUAACGUCCCCUUGUCCCAAGCCGAAAGAUCCCAAGGCGGCCAAACCAAACCAGCCCGGACGCAGCACGCAAAGCUGCUCGCUUAGAUCACCAGCUAAACUUAGUCACCCGCAGCCUACGUCCACGGCCACCGCCAAUCGAACUAAGGCUAAGACGACAUUAUGGCUGCCCUAAAAGUCGAUGCAAACACAAACACGCCAAGUUACCGCCCUAGACACCCGUGUCCGUCCCAUCGUGGAGCCAGCAGGGGUUUCGCCAUGUUGCCGUACCUAGGCGGCAAUAGAAACUGGUCCGGCUGGUACAAGCUAGACGUCUUCUGCCGACUCGAGCUCUUCAAGAACCAACUUCGCCCGGAAAUGCUCUCGCUCCUCGUCAGGCGCUUUGCCCUCCUCCACGAUGCCCUCUAACUACCCUAUCAAUUCCUUACCCACUUCGUCAAUUGAUCAGUCUUUCCCAUAAGACUCGUUUACUAACUUUUCCGUUUACAUCAGGAAAAGUGAAAACCUAGAAUGGCGAACCCCCAUUGACGGAUAAAGAGACGGGAUAAGAAAAUAAGGUAUGUGGAACAGGGAAGACAGUGUAAUUUAUUGUAUGAACAGAUAGAAAAAUAAUAGAAUAAUUACACUUAGUUCGCCUAAGUUUAUUCUUGUAGGUGGGUUUUCAAGAGCAAACUUCUUCAUUUGUAUGAACCCAAACGUCAAAAUCUUUGAACUGAACAAAGUAGAGAGUAUCUCUACGAAAACCCAAAAGAUCCGUAAAGUAGGUUUAACCGGGGAUGAUUUUCAAUGAAACGUCAUAUUUAAGGUAUUGGACGACGGUUUGACGAUAACGAACAACUCAACAAUAGUCGAACCGUGACGUAGGGAGACUAUAACGUAUCAAAUACAGUCCCAGUGUAAUGACGAGAAGAUCUGCCACCUAUUGCUUAGUUUUCAGUUCAAUUCACGAUGUUGAUAAAUAAUUUUCCGACGAUCUUGAUUAAAAACAUUAGACUUUCAUUAGUGUUGGUAAGGAGAAAUCAGGUUACUCACUUUGUUUAUAACAGUGGCGUUGUAACGAUGUGUAAUGCAGUCUCCUUUUUUAACAGUAACACUAACCUACUCAUCCCACGCGGUCACCUCAUUAAAUACACGGUAAUGAUACAAUUUAGUUCUCCCUCUUUAUCCAGUGGGCUAUUUGUUAGUUUCUGGUGGACAAGACACACUACAUUCGAUUUUGCUGUUGGUUAUUUCUACACCAGUAUGUAAGUUGAAAAUGUGAAAGAGUACUUAAGUACUACCUGGUCUUAUUUCGUUAUUAACAGUGUCUAUUCUAAACUCAAUCUUCCUCAGACCUCAUCACUUAAUCAAGUCGUACAAAGCGUUAGACCAUGACCUUGGAUUCUUUGUGCCUAUGCCUCUGUGUCUGUGCCGCUAUUGUACCCUAUGCCGUAAAAGGGUUUUAUCGGUAAAGCCCCUAUGCUGCUCAUAUACAUUUCUUUAAAAAUUUAUACGGUACAUUAUAUCUCAAUUUUGUUUUUUUAAUUACUCCUUAACUCUACUCUAGUCUGAUGGCGGAGUAAAGGUAGACCACAGAGUAAAAAGUUCACGAGUUAAUAACUUAAUUAACUAGGAGAUCUGGGUACAGUAACGUUGAAUGUUUCAUGUAGUUUGCGAUCAUAAUCAUUUGAUCGUCCUAGAGUUGUAGUCCGACGGGAAGUCGCAGAAGCGAUGACCGUCACCACGAGGGUCUAUUGUACGAGGGAUUGUCGUUCGUUGAUAGUUGUGGGUUGUCGUCGUGGUGUAAGUUAGCUCGUGUUAUAGUACAUCGGUUAGUUUUGCGUUCGUCGUUACUGUACCGACGUACCCCUUCGUUCGUCGUCGUCGAGUUGUUGUUCACAGUGUUUCUCUACUUCUCCAACUUCUCUCCGACGACACGAACCCCAAUGGACGAGCUCGCACUAACGGCAACCAUCCUCUCCGACGACACGAACCCUUUGCCACCGUCCCGCUCAGGUCCGUCGCCGCAACUACAUCCGCCACCGCCGCGCAAGCGAUCUCGGUCCUCGUCGAGCAAAGGAAAACACCACUCGCAUACACGCUCACCCAAACAUAGUUCGUCUCCGACAAUAACCCGGAGGGCUCAGGGGUGGUAUAGGGUCGGAACAGGAAUAAAAAAAAGAAUAAAAAAAUUAAGCAUUUACUCUACCAUGACACCCUAUGUGCAUAGGGCCGCACAGUGGCACAGGACGGCGUGAUCCUGUCGUUUAGCGACUUAGACGACAUAGGUACGAAAGCUCUAACCUUGCCUACGACGAACCAACCACAACUACCAUACGGGGAGCAGCGUUCCUAUGGACUGUCUAGUAAUUAUGACCAUAUAUCCUUUCUAUCUAAGUUAACUCAUCAACGAGUACAAACUCUAAAACGUAGAAAAAGGUUUGUUACAAGAAUUUGUAAUAACAUUCGUUAUUAUUAUCAAAUUGCACGAUUCUUAGUAAAGAUUGGUACACACCCUCACCGUGUACACAUUACCUAUAAAGAUUAGAAGACUAUAGUCAUCAAUUGAGUGUCCUUAUUCCCUAAGAUGUUACAUCUCCAAAUUUACGGUAGUGACACGUCGUAGACAGGUACAUGGAAAGUCGUAUAGUGUACGAAAGAAUCAAAAUACGAGAAAGUGCAUAAAACGAUUCAAGGACAAUGUCAUAUACUAGAGGAAGCCGAAGACCUCAUUUAUGAAGGACACGACCAUUUAAAUUCGCUCAGAUGAAGUAUUACUGGAGAAACAAUCCAAGUACCCGGACCUCGUCUGUAACUAUAGAAUACACAACCUGGAAGUAUACACUUGGCUCUCCUCCUAAAGAAACAGUGUGAUGUACCGUAUAAUUGUGUUGACCUUCUUCACUGACUUGAUGUUGGACAUGGACUACGAGUACAUGGAGAAUACUUUAAAUUCAAGGUGUCCUACCGUUAACUGGAAGAGAUACGGUCACAUAGAGAACGUCAUUAUGGUGGUUUAAAGGCCUGUUGUGAGUCCACAAACUUCAUGACCCGUCUCUCUUCCCCGCAAAUAAGGUUACAAUGACCAAAGGAACCCCCACAGUUGACCCGGUAUAACCAACGAGAAUAGACGGUUGAGAUAGGAUUACGACAUGGUUCAUACGACCAGAGUUCUAAGAAGUCUCAAAAAUGCGUCACCGUCACCGGCUUAGGUCACUACGAAACACGGUAACUCUUACUACUGGAACCAAAAAGACAUACCCUAGGUGCAUUUUUAGGAGCACUAUCUAGAGUACAAUACGGAUAGUAUUGAGGUCCGAUAGGUACGUACUUGAGAUCGAUAUUACAUAGAAGAUCGUGUAACUCCCAAUAGUUCCUCGUUAAAUUCGAGCCAUUAUUCUAAACAGUCCUUUAACUGGAAUUAUUCCGAUCAACCUGACGGAACAAACUCGGAAAAUAAAAAAAGCUCCGUAUAUGCUUCAUAGAUCACCAACUGUAACAACGCCUGUUACUACUACUAGAAGCCGAAACCUUCCCUACCCAACUCAGAGCUGACUCCGUCGACUGGAACUUCUAUCUCGCCCUAUGAUUACCUUACGACGUUACGGUAGGAAUGGGUACACUGAUAAGUUUAGGAUGUCAUGUCACACGAGUAACGAGGAAGAUGUACCCGAAUAGUUCCUUUCUUCCCUACUUUUAUGUACCAGUUUUGAAACUAUAAGCACCUUGCCAUCUACUCAAAUACGUACUUUAGCCUUACAUGUGUAACACCUUCAGACCUUACCUGGAUCGCCAGUGAGUACAAGCAUUCUUCGUCUAGGGAAUAAUACAUAAACUUGUCCCAAUGUUCUUUGGAACAGGUGGUUACGUACGUUUGGUCGUUCUCGUCAGACUAUCUGUACUGUGACUUCUACUGUGUGACUGUCGUAGAUACAACCCGGUUGAUUUCUCUUUCGCACUAAAACUACUUCGACCAGUGUCACUUAGUACAUUUAGACAAUUUUCCAGAAGUCAUACGGAUCCGAUGCUCCUUUCAGGUGGACUUAUACCUUCGUAACAUUCAUUUCAACAUAGGCCUUUGUGUCAGUUUAACCAAAGGUCACGGGAGACAUUACCUCAAGUCUUACCUGACAGCGUACCGUUACAUUUAAACCUUAGUCGUUUAACGAGGUCAAGUGGUGUACCUAGACUCCUCAGACGUCGUAGUCCGUGUUCGACACGUCGACACCUUUGUCAAGUGUACCAAAUACUUUGACAACCAGGACUUUCGAGUUACCGUACACAAUAGUUACCAUACCAGGUCUGAUACCGUCACGUGUGUGGAAAUUUUACACACCGACUCUUUCUACUUGGGUUCAAACUCCCUUAACCAUCGAACCGUUUGUCGUUAAGACGGCUCAAAUACCUCGUCUGUCUUUACGAGUGACCUUUGCAGGAACCACUCUUAUACGUGAACACACUUACUCGACUAAACUUCGCUGGAAGGUGAUUUGUCUAAUACGUCCACGGUUUAACCAACAUAGGUCUUCGGUCUUUCGAAGUUAAUCCAGACGGGAUUUGACGCACUCACCUCCUAUCAGUUUUCCUUUUCUGACCACUGAACGACUUACCUUAGUCCCCAAAGUACGGACACCAGCCAUUCAAACAAACGAGGCUCAAGACUGUACCUAAAAGAGUCUUCCCUCAGAACUUUCUUCUCCACGAGGACCACGGCCUUACAAGUCAGUCGAUAUACCUCGUUUACACGUCGUCAAACAGGGUCUACGAAGAGACUGUUCCUGUUCGAAAAAAUGGGUUUUGACGCUUGGUACAUGGUAGGUCCAAUGAACUAGAAUAAUGAUCAUAUUAUGUGUCGAACAUUCACAAUAUGUCUCUACCAGAUGGAAUGUGUAAUUAAUGUAUCCAAGUCCAGUCUCAAUCCAUCGAAUGGUAGUUAAAACAGUAUCUCUUCUGGCGUGUGGGAAAUGGAUACUAUUAAAAGUUUACGGCCUUCGAAACAGAUGAGUAUACUAACGUAAUAGUACAAGGAAAAGGG